GUUUCUUCAUCAAUAAUCUCAAGCACGUCCCGCCUCUUCCCUGUACGUUCCUGCAACCUAGGGUUUCCAGGUCCUCGCCUCCUGGCCAACCCAUUGAGCCGUGCUCGCUGCCUUUCCUCCGUUUGCCACGCCAUAUGCCUGACAGCGAUACCCGUGCCAACAAUUAAAUCUUGGCCAAUUUUAACCAAGGUCCCGUGCCUACAAUUAAAUCUUGGACGAUUUUAUCCGCUUCCUCUCCGCCAUGGAUGAAGCAGUUAGGGCCUUAGGGGGGAUCGCUGUGGUGUGCCCAAAGUCAGCAACGCAACUCCGACAAGUCAAUCUUACCUCAGACUGUCUACCCAUUGAGCCGUGCUCGCUGCCUUUCCUCCGUUUGCCACGCCAUAUGCCUGACAGCGAUACCCGUGCCAACAAUUAAAUCUUGGCCAAUUUUAACCAAGGUCCCGUGCCUACAAUUAAAUCUUGGACGAUUUUAUCCGCUUCCUCUCCACCAUGGAUGAAGCAAUUAGGGCCUUAGGGGGGAUCGCUGUGGUGUGCCCAAAGUCAGCAACGCAACUCCGACAAAUCAAUCUUACCUCAGGAACUCACGAGGAAGCGGGAGAGGGGACACCAGAGAUAGGUGUAGGUACGUACUAUAGUUGCCUAAUUGAAUCUGUGCUGCACACCGAAAUAUGCACUUCCCUCAUAUUUGGUUUGAUACAAAAUUGGAAGCAAUCACUGAAUAUAAUGUCCCACCAAACAAUAACUACGCAAUUGUCCCGUACUAGCUGUUUUUCAAACCCACACAGCAUGCCAUAUAGUUUAUUUUGGGAUAGGUUAUAUUUUUUAAUUAUUUUAUAUCUAGAUUUUCCUCUCUUGACGCUCACACGUGAAGUCUCUUCAAAUCUCCAGAUGGCCCAGCCUUACCAGUUCAGCAUGGAGGCAGUACCCGACACCACCGCCUCUCCUUGCACUUCCAGUUCCACCCAGCAUUUUGAUGUCCCAGUCUCACCCUCUUCUGCUUUAUUCUUUAGGAAUAUAUGUCCGUCUUCUUAGUGCUGAUGAUGUCCACAUACUAGAUCACCCCCACCUCGAACGUUACUUCUGAUAAAGAUGGACAUGCCGAUCUUUUGCAAAAGAAAAUCAAUUGCUAUAUGUCUGACCAUGUCAUGAGUCUGGACAAAGGCAUAAAAGAAGAGGAUAUCACGAUCGACUGCACCGCAGACAACCUCCUCAUAUAUGCCGCCGCAUGUUGGCCACAUCCGACGUCUUCAAAUGUGAUUCACCGCUUAUAUCUGAUGUCUAACAAUGCGAAGUAAUGGCACCAUGCAGUUUCGUGGACAUGUGUGCUAUUGCUAGACUGGAUUGAAGGGUUUGACAAUUUUUCUCCAAUCUGCAUGUAUAUAUGGUUUCUUAUAAAAUGCAGUUCUAACCUAUACUUGGUGCGAAUAUUUCCCUUAAAUCUGCUACUUUUGCAUGAUGCAUGCAUGAGUGGUGAACUAUUUUUAUUUUCUUAGAGCAUUGGUUCGU